GCCCGGAUGGUCUAGUGGUACGUUUCAUUCACCUCACGAUAACACCAAUUUCCCCGCUAACUCAGCAUAGGUAUGAUUCUCCGUUUGGGUCGGAGAGGCCGCGUGUUCGAAUCGCGCUUCGGGCC
rnacentral:tRNA from 1 species